rnacentral:rRNA from 1 species
GAUGAACGCUGGCGGCGUGCCUAACACAUGCAAGUCGAGCGAUCUUCUUCGGAAGAGAGCGGCGGACGGGUGAGUAACGCGUGGGUAACCUGCCCUGUACACACGGAUAACAUACCGAAAGGUAUGCUAAUACGAGAUAAUAUACUUUUAUCGCAUGGUAGAAGUAUCAAAGCUCCGGCGGUACAGGAUGUACCCGCGUCUGAUUAGCUAGUUGGUCAGGUAACGGUUUACCAAGGCGACGGUCAGUAGCCGACCUGAGAGGGUGAUCGGCCACAUUGGGACUGAAGCACGGUCCAAACUUCUACGGAAGGCAGCAGUGGUGAAUAUUGCACAAUAAGCGAAAGUCUGAUGCAGCAACGCCGCGUGAGCGAUGAAGGCCUUCGGGUCGUAAAGCUCUGUCCUCAAGGAAGAUAAUGACGGUACUUGAGGAGGAAGCCCCGGCUAACUACGUGCCAGCCGCCGCGGUAA